rnacentral:misc_RNA from 1 species
GCGAAAAUUGACUCAUAAAUAAUCUUGCUUAUAAAAUAAAAAAAUGAACAAAAAAAGUAAUAUUGGCACAUAUUUUAAUCUUCAAAAUUGAACUUAGAAAAUCCACCUUGAACCUAAAAAUUAUAGUGUAAACUCUAAACUGAAUUGCCCUGCACAUAAUCAAAUAAUUGGUAGGGAACUUAAUUAUUAUAAAGGCAUUUAAUUAAGCAUAUUUUAUGAUAAUGUGUUGUAACCUAAUUGUUACACCACUUUCCAAACCCUUACAAGAAAAUACAUACCCAAAUGUAUUUGCUUGAUUACAUGAAAUGACAUAAUUAGAAUUAAAACUGCCGUUGAGAAAAUUAUUUUUUUAAA